AGCGACAGAAGAAGCACCGGCUAACUACCGUGCCAGCAGCCGCGAUAAUACGGAGGGUGCGAGCGUUAAUCGGAAUUACUGGGCGUAAAGCGCAUGCAGGUGGUUUGUUAAGUUCAGAUGUGAAAGACCCGGGGCGUCAACCUCGGAAUAGCAUUUGAAACUGGCAGGCUAGAGUCUUGUAGAGGGGGGUAGGAAGUUUCAGGUGUAGCGGUGAAAUGCGUAGAGAUCUGAAGGAAUACCAGUGGCGAAGGCGCCCCCCUCGGACAAAGACUGACGCUCAGAUGCGAAAGCGUGGGGAGCAAACAGGAUUAGAUACCCCUGGUAG
rnacentral:rRNA from 1 species